AUUGAACGCUGGCGGCAGGCCUAACACAUGCAAGUCGAACGGUAACAGGAGGAAGCUUGCUUCUUUGCUGACGAGUGGCGGACGGGUGAGUAAUGUCUGGGAAACUGCCUGAUGGAGGGGGAUAACCACUGGAAACGGUAGCUAAUACCGCAUAACGUCGCAAGACCAAAGAGGGGGACCUUCGGGCCUCUUGCCAUCGGAUGUGCCCAGAUGGGAUUAGCUAGUAGGUGGGGUAACGGCUCACCUAGGCGACGAUCCCUAGCUGGUCUGAGAGGAUGACCAGCCACACUGGAACUGAGACACGGUCCAGACUCCUACGGGAGGCAGCAGUGGGGAAUAUUGCACAAUGGGCGCAAGCCUGAUGCAGCCAUGCCGCGUGUAUGAAGAAGGCCUUCGGGUUGUAAAGUACUUUCAGCGGGGAGGAAGGGAGUAAAGUUAAUACCUUUGCUCAUUGACGUUACCCGCAGAAGAAGCACCGGCUAACUCCGUG
rnacentral:rRNA from 1 species